rnacentral:rRNA from 1 species
GAAAGCUUUUGCGGUAUGGGAUGAGCUCGCGGCCUAUCAGCUUGUUGGUGGGGUAAUGGCCUACCAAGGCGUCGACGGGUAGCCGGCCUGAGAGGGUGUACGGCCACAUUGGGACUGAGAUACGGCCCAGACUCCUACGGGAGGCAGCAGUGGGGAAUAUUGCACAAUGGGCGCAAGCCUGAUGCAGCGACGCCGCGUGGGGGAUGACGGCCUUCGGGUUGUAAACUCCUUUCGUCAGGGACGAAGCGAAAGUGACGGUACCUGGAUAAGAAGCACCGGCUAACUACGUGCCAGCAGCCGCGGUAAUACGUAGGGUGCGAGCGUUGUCCGGAAUUACUGGGCGUAAAGAGCUCGUAGGUGGUUUGUCGCGUCGUUUGUGUAAGUCCACGGCUUAACUGUGGGAUGGCAGGCGAUACGGGCAUAACUUGAGUGCUGUAGGGGAGACUGGAAUUCCUGGUGUAGCGGUGAAAUGCGCAGAUAUCAGGAGGAACACCGAUGGCGAAGGCAGGUCUCUGGGCAGUAACUGACGCUGAGGAGCGAAAGCAUGGGUAGCGAACAGGAUUAGAUACCCUGGUAGUCCAUGCCGUAAACGGUGGGCGCUAGGUGUGAGUCCCUUCCACGGGGUUCGUGCCGUAGCUAACGCAUUAAGCGCCCCGCCUGGGGAGUACGGCCGCAAGGCUAAAACUCAAAGGAAUUGACGGGGGCCCGCACAAGCGGCGGAGCAUGUGGAUUAAUUCGAUGCAACGCGAAGAACCUUACCUGGGCUUGACAUACACCAGAUCGGCGCAGAGAUGCGUUUUCCCUUGUGGUUGGUGUACAGGUGGUGCAUGGUUGUCGUCAGCUCGUGUCGUGAGAUGUUGGGUUAAGUCCCGCAACGAGCGCAACCCUUGUCUUAUGUUGCCAGCACGUGAUGGUGGGGACUCAUGAGAGACUGCCGGGGUUAACUCGGAGGAAGGUGGGGAUGACGUCAAAUCAUCAUGCCCCUUAUGUCCAGGGCUUCACACAUGCUACAAUGGUCGGUACAACGCGUGUGCGACACUGUGAGGUGAAGCUAAUCGCUCUAAAGCCGGU